UAGCAAUUCAUGGUCCUCCACAAGUAUACCUAUAAAUGUGUUCUGGAAGAUGGAACGACAGGCAGAAGCUUCCUUCAGCUUUUCCAGAGCCAUUUGAGGAGCAGCUGUGGUCUGACCUCGGUACAAGGGUUGGAAGCUGCCCCUCUCAGCAGAAACGCUGCCUUCAUUCACAGAACGCUGGGCACGGCUGCAUUUCUGCUUCCAAGACACGUUUAAAGGCAAAUGGAAGAUGUUACAGUCUGGCUCAGCGUUUUCCUGCUGUCUCUCCAAAGUGUCCUUCAAUCCA